rnacentral:rRNA from 1 species
GUGGGGAAUAUUGGACAAUGGGCGAAAGCCUGAUCCAGCCAUGCCGCGUGUGUGAAGAAGGUCUUCGGAUUGUAAAGCACUUUAAGUUGGGAGGAAGGGCAUUAACCUAAUACGUUAGUGUUUUGACGUUACCAACAGAAUAAGCACCGGCUAACUUCGUGCCAGCAGCCGCGGUAAUACGAAGGGUGCAAGCGUUAAUCGGAAUUACUGGGCGUAAAGCGCGCGUAGGUGGUUCAGCAAGUUGAAGGUGAAAUCCCCGGGCUCAACCUGGGAACUGCCUCCAAAACUACUGAGCUAGAGUACGGUAGAGGGUAGUGGAAUUGCCUGUGUAGCGGUGAAAUGCGUAGAUAUAGGAAGGAACACCAGUGGCGAAGGCGACUACCUGGACUGAUACUGACACUGAGGUGCGAAAGCGUGGGGAGCAAACAGGAUUAGAAACCCGGGUAGUCC